UACGUAGGGGGCAAGCGUUGUCCGGAAUCAUUGGGCGUAAAGCGCGUGUAGGUGGCCCGAUAAGUCCGCUGUGAAAGUCCAGGGCUCAACCCUGGGAUGCCGGUGGAUACUGUCGGGCUCGAGUCCGGAAGAGGCGAGUGGAAUUCCUGGUGUAGCGGUGAAAUGCGCAGAUAUCAGGAGGAACACCAAUGGCGAAGGCAGCUCGCUGGGACGUGACUGACGCUGAGACGCGAAAGCGUGGGGAGCAAACAGG
rnacentral:rRNA from 1 species